UACGGAAGGCAGCAGUGGGGAAUAUUGCACAAUGGGCGCAAGCCUGAUGCAGCCAUGCCGCGUGUAUGAAGAAGGCCUUCGGGUUGUAAAGUACUUUCAGUCGUGAGGAAGGUGUUAAGGUUAAUAACCUUAGCAAUUGACGUUAGCGACAGAAGAAGCACCGGCUAACUCCGUGCCAGCAGCCGCGGUAAUACGGAGGGUGCGAGCGUUAAUCGGAAUUACUGGGCGUAAAGGGCACGCAGGCGGUUAAUUAAGUUGGAUGUGAAAUCCCCGGGCUUAACCUGGGAAUGGCAUUCAAGACUGGUUAGCUAGAGUCUUGUAGAGGGGGUAGAAUUCCAUGUGUAGCGGUGAAAUGCGUAGAGAUGUGGAGGAAUACCGGGUGCGAAGGCGGCCCCUGGGACAAAGACUGACGCUCAUGUGCGAAAGCGUGGGGAGCAAACAGGGAUUAGAUACC
rnacentral:rRNA from 1 species